UAAUACAGAGGGUGCAAGCGUUGCUCGGAAUCAUUGGGCGUAAAGGGCAAGUAGGUGGUCUCGUUUGUCUGAGGUGAAAUCCCUGGGCUUAACCUAGGAACUGCCUCAGAAACGGCGAGACUUGAGUGCUGGAGAGGGUCGCGGAAUUCCCGGUGUAGCGGUGAAAUGCGUAGAGAUCGGGAGGAAUACCAGAGGCGAAAGCGGCGGCCUGGACAGUUACUGACACUCAACUGCGAAAGCGUGGGGAGCAAACAGGAUUAGAUACCCUGGUAGUCCACGCUGUAAACGAUGGGUACUAGGCCAAGCGGGUAUUGACCCCUGCUGGGCCGGAGCUAACGCGAUAAGUACCCCGCCUGGGAAGUACGGUCGCAAGACUA
rnacentral:rRNA from 1 species